UGAGAUGUGCUCCCUACAUCAGAGUAAAGCAGCAGGCGCUGCAGAGGCUAGGACCAUGCUCCCUGUGCUGGGAAGUUUCAUGGAUGACACUCUGAGGAGAGUGCAGAACUAUAUACAGCGAGGCGGGCGUGUGGGAGAGACACUACAAAGCAGAGACCAGGAGCAAGAAAUCCUGGCCCAAGUUUUACAUGCUGUCGAUGUUCCCCUGUCCACCAGGGAAGCUGCACAUGGGCCAUGUCUGUGUGUACACCGUCAGUGACAUGAUUGCACGCUUUCAAAGGAUGAGAGGAAAUCAGUGCUGCAGCAGUAGAGGCUUGAUGGGUGGUGCCUAAUUUACCAUCUGCCACUGGCUACACUGCCUUCUCCUAGCUGCCAGGCUCGCUGUGCAUGCUCUUCACAAUCACUGCACUGCCUUUCUUUCACCUGCUAUCAUUUUCCUCAGAUGCAACCUAAUUGGUUUGCAGCUAAGAGUGAUAAGCCGACUCUCUGCAUGGGUCUGCAUGCAACAGAACUGUCAACUGACCUACACAUAACAUGUCAUCUCCCACAUAAACAUUUAUUGAAUAAGGAUUGUAUGAUUUACAUAAGAGUUUGUUUUCUGCUACAACCCACUGAGUAGAAUAUAACAAAAUCCACUUCAUCCAUCGUUCAGCCUAACCGAUUGCCAGACGAGAUUGUGUUUUCAUGCAUGCCCAAAAAAACAGCAAUUAUGAAUAGUUCAGGUGUUGCCAUCAGCACCAUGUCUGGAGGGGUUUGGCCAGGGAUCCUAAAACCUGAGCACUUCUAAAUAGCCACUUAAAGAAUUCCUGCUGGAGGUUCCAAGAAAAUAUAAAUAUAUAUCUAUAUCUAUAUUUAUAUAUAUAUCAGGCAUAUUGUGAAAUUAAGCAUAGUCGUGAAAUGCCUAAAAGCACUGACUACAUUCAUUUCUACAUCUUCCAUUAUGUAGCCCUGUGUAUAUUUAAUGCUUAAAAUGUAAUGUUUUAAUGGGAGAGACAAGCAACACAGUGUAAUAUAAUUGGUAAUUACUUCACAAAGCUGUGCAUCCUCCGUGUAUAUUGCUCUCAUUGCAUUAAAGAUUAAAUUUAAUUGAAUAAACUGUUUUGUAUAUUAAUCUGCCAGACACUUUGAGUAUCAAAGGGACACAUACUUCUGAGACUUAUAGUUUAUUUUAGUUGGUGUAUAUACUGUGCAGAAACAAAAUGCUUUGGAUUAACAACAAACUGUUUCAUAUUCACGCUUGAAGUAGGUUUCCAUGGUUGCCUGUAGCAUUUCUUGACGCCUCAGUGUCAUCUAAAUUCCAAAACAAUUGGUUUCUGUCAGUUAUUAUCUGAUUUAACACAUAGGUCAUGGACCCUACAAACAGUGUGGGAUAUGAAGUCCUUUAAGAGUUGGAAAGUACUAAUAAAUGAGUUCCAUAUUAGGAAUAAACAGCGCCAAUUGUUCUGAAAGGUGAUUGGUUGGAUGGGCCACUAGAUAAGGUGUCAUUGAACCAGCAGUGGGCAGAGGGGAUUGGGAGCGGAG